rnacentral:rRNA from 1 species
UGGGGAAUAUUGCACAAUGGGCGAAAGCCUGAUGCAGCGACGCCGCGUGAGGGAUGACGGCCUUCGGGUUGUAAACCUCUUUCAGCAGGGACGAAGCGCAAGUGACGGUACCUGCAGAAGAAGCACCGGCUAACUACGUGCCAGCAGCCGCGGUAAUACGUAGGGCGCAAGCGUUGUCCGGAAUUACUGGGCGUAAAGAGUUCGUAGGCGGUUUGUCGCGUCGUUUGUGAAAACCAGCAGCUCAACUGCUGGCUUGCAGGCGAUACGGGCAGACUUGAGUACUGCAGGGGAGACUGGAAUUCCUGGUGUAGCGGUGAAAUGCGCAGAUAUCAGGAGGAACACCGGUGGCGAAGGCGGGUCUCUGGGCAGUAACUGACGCUGAGGAACGAAAGCGUGGGUAGCGAACAGG